CGCAAUCUCGUGGGGUGUCCGGCGCUGGCCGGACUGAGAGGUCGACGCUUCGGCCAACCCAACGAACCUGAUCCGGGUCAUGCCGGCGGAGGGAUGAGAGAUGCAGGAACC
rnacentral:ncRNA from 2 species